ensembl:lncRNA
AAAACAAACAAACAAAAACCCUACACUAACAAAAGUGUCCCUGUGCCUCCAGUUAGGCCAGGGUGAGGUGGCUGAGGACUGGCGAGCCCUGAACCUUCUGUCCCUGCUCAGCACUGGUGCAAAGCACUGAUGCUAGAAAGGCACUUUGUACAGAAGAUGCACCCAUGUGUGCACACAGACAUGCAGUCCACAGUGAGCUGUGAAGCAGACACAUGCAGCAGUGCACACCUGCACCCACACCUCAGCACUCACACCUGUGCACACGUGUGCACAGCCACCACCUGCAGGCAGAACAGGCACGUGGAGAGCCCAGGCACACCGCUCAGCUGCAGCUCCCUCAGAAGCAAGGCUCUGCCCUGCUCCAACAAAGCCCAUGAAACACAGUCUGGUGAGUGAAGGGACCCAGCUCACACCCUGCAGGCCCAAGGGACGCCUCCAAACAGCCAGCACUCAGCCCUUGGUGGCUUGCAGGCUCACACAUCACCUAGGCCAGGACAGCAGCUCUGGGCCAGCCCACAGGUGGCUCAACCACCACACGCCAUCCUCUGAGGAAAGCAUGCCCCAAGUCCAGUGCUUGUCUUCUGUCUUCAGGGAAGGCUGUCCCGCAGCUUCUCCUCCCUGCUUAUCACAGAGAGCUUGCACCGAGCACUGGGGACACCCUUCCACCUUCGUGCUCUAUUUUCUCCCUCUCGUGCCCCACCUGGAUACCUGGGCUCUGGCACCCAGUGAAGGCAAGGAACUUCCCUCUAUCCAAAUUUCAUACCACUGAGGAGACCUCACCUGAAAAGUCCUCCAUGGAGCUGAAGGCUCAGCUGUCCUCAGGGGAUGUGAGCUCUCUGCAGCAGUGUACAGCAGCAGGACAAGAGGCAUACAGUGAGACUAGAGAGGUGCUGAGUGUAUAGGAGAAACUCCCCCCAGAGGACAGUCAAGUUGCCCACUCUGCUGUCUCCACUGUCUAGACUUUGCAGGAGAGCCCUGAGAACCCGGUCUUACUCCUGGCUGACCGCUUUGAGCACGAGGCUGGAACAGAAACUUCCCAACUUCCAGCCUCCCACCUGAGUCCCACUGCAGUCUGCACCCAUGCUGAGAGAUUGAUGUGCACCCUCUCCUCUCCCAGCGCUCCUGCUGAGGCUCCUGCUGUGCUUCACACUCAACUCCCCACUCAGAGCUCCACCAAUUUCUACGACCCACACACCAGCCUUCUUCUUCUGCCCCACUCACACAGCCUCCCACUUCCACAGGACAAGGAGCUGUACAGGAUCCUUGCAGUAGCAGGGCUACACCCGUGCUCACAGCCCCUGAACGAGUCCUGCUCAUUUCUGGGCUUCCCUGUCCCCUUCCAGAGGUGGUGGGAUCUGUCUGGAGUGAUCUGUCUUGGGUUUCUCCAUGGAUCUAUCUUAAAGCCUUUGCCUCUCAUGGAUAGAUUUUAAAGCCCCCCUCCAUGUUUUCUUCUCACUUUUCCAGAGAAAAAGGAAGGGAAGAGCUUGAAACAGAAGAUGUGCAAGCAAAGAUCAGAAGACAUCAUCCCUGCCUCUCUCACUUCUGGAGGAGAUGCUGUCCUCUCUAGGCUAUGGGCAGAGCUGGGCUGACUCUAGGAUUUGAGUGAGGAUGAGAGAACCCUCCAUGCAGAUCUCUGUCCCAAACCCCCAUGGUCCAAAUUCAGUGCUGGAUCCCACUCUAAAGCCAGAUGAGAAUCCCUGGGCUUUGUCCGAUCAAGUCGAGAAGAUCUCUGAGGGUGGAGACCCCACAGCCCCACUCGGUCUCUCUCAUUUCCAGGGGCUGCCGGCAGAACUCCCCGCUUUGAGCCCCAGAGUCCUCCCCACCUCCUGCAGCACGCAGCGUGCCACUGGGCUCAGCUGCAUCCCCGAACCUUUCCCAGUCCUGGCUGUGUCGCUGGUGUACGGCACAGCACCGAUGCGGCAGCAGUGUGACAUCAGCGACGCACCACCGCCAGCACCACAUACCACACCUGCACGGCUCCGGCUCGACGGGACCGGAGAGGGCAUCCUCCUGCCUCCCUCCUGCCCGAGCCCGGCAGGCGUUUCACUCUGCGAGCAAAGUCACGAACAGCAGAGUUUUUUUUUUUUUUUUCCAGCGGCGUCUUCCGAGAGUCCCAGGCAUCGGCACCGGGAGGGAGCGGGGAGGGCGGCGGAGAGCUCUGCGCCCCUGCCCGCGGAAAGCGGGCGGCACCGGGGGGGGCUCCUUCACCCGG